rnacentral:rRNA from 1 species
GUAGGGGCCGAGCGUUGUCCGGAGUUAUUGGGCGUAAAGCGCGCGCAGGCGGCGGUGUCAGCCCGACGUGAAAGCCCCCGGCUUAACCGGGGAGGGUCGUGGGGGACGGCACCGCUUGAGGGCGGCAGAGGGCGGUGGAAUUCCCGGUGUAGUGGUGAAAUGCGUAGAGAUCGGGAGGAACACCUGUGGCGAAGGCGGCCGUCUGGGCCGACCCUGACGCUGAGGCGCGAAGGCGUGGGGAGCGAACGGGAUUAGAUACCCCGGUAGUCCACGCAGUAAACGAUGCCGACUAGGCGUGGGGGGACUUGACCCCCUCCGUGCCGGAGCCAACGCGGGAAGUCGGCCGCCUGGGGAGUACGGCCGCAAGGCUAAA